ACAGACGGCGCCACACGGAGUCCAGCAGCACGGUUUGCAUGUGAAGACGUGCUAGCAGCCAACGCUUCAGCCCAGCACCUUUACGUUCCUGCCCUCCCAUAGGACAGAGGUCACUGGGGUCACUGCACGUUUACAGCCACGUAUGGGAAUGCUGCUCCUGUGUGGAUGCUACAGAUCUCUUCUGCUCCGGACUACACCGACUACCCACCACCUUGCAACCAGGCCGAGUUCAUAAACCUCAGAUAUUUACAGUCUGGAUGGACUGUGAGAGAAACCAUAAAUCAUUAACUUCUACUUGUGAUACCAAAGGAAACUUGAGAAUUAAAUGUAACAGUUUGGAAUGUG